rnacentral:misc_RNA from 1 species
CAGCAGCUUGGUCGUGCUGGCCGUGAUGGUAGUCAGUCCUUACAUCUGCUUCUUUAUAAUAGUAGACAUACUCAUAAACUUGAAGCUGACAUGAAGACAUAUAUUGAAAAUAAAGAUAAGUGUCGUAGACUUCAAAUAUUGGAAUCAUAUGAUUCGCUUCCUAAUGUAGAACUUGUAAAACAUUUAUGUUGUGAUAUAUGUUCCCAAAAUUGUAAUUGCAGUGGUGACUGUUGUGAACUGUAUCAACAUCCAUAUUUUUUAUUUCAAAGUGAUGAUGUUUCUAGUGAUGACAACUCUUGCAUGUCAGAUAGCACAGACUUAGAAAGUGAUGAUGUACUUGAUAUAGAUGAUACAUAUCCAGAGUUGGAGUAAGAAAGCUUUUUUCCAAUGUUUCACUGUUAUAAAAUUUAAAACAAUGUACAUGUAAUAUAAACCAUUUAAAUCUAUGAAUUAAACUUUGUUCUUUAUCACUUG